GGAAGAGUCUCCUUCCUCUUCCACCACUCCAUGUGUGUCCCUCCCAAAGCUGCAUGCUCGGUGGAGGAGGACAAACUUCCCUGAAAAAAGAGAAUUGUUCUUUGGUUUAGGGUAUAUGAGUAAGUUGCAUUCCCCUGCUAGAACCUCCAGACAAGCUCUCAAGGUUCAUUUGUAGUAGGGUAGUCAACUUCCAAGACUCCAGACACAUCCAAAUGAGGUGCUUCAUGUGGCAGUCUGCCUUUCUUU
ensembl:misc_RNA 7SK 7SK RNA